UACGAAGGGGGCUAGCGUUGCUCGGAAUCACUGGGCGUAAAGGGUGCGUAGGCGGGUCUUUAAGUCAGGGGUGAAAUCCUGGAGCUCAACUCCAGAACUGCCUUUGAUACUGAGGAUCUUGAGUCCGGGAGAGGUGAGUGGAACUGCGAGUGUAGAGGUGAAAUUCGUAGAUAUUCGCAAGAACACCAGUGGCGGAGGCGGCUCACUGGCCCGAUACUGACGCUGAGGUGCGAAAGCGUGGGGAGCAAACAGG
rnacentral:rRNA from 1 species